rnacentral:lncRNA from 1 species
GUCAUCAACAAAACGACAUAGUUUAACAAUUGAAGAAGACUCAUAACAGACCCCCUUCUUAGGAAACCAUGUCCUCAAUGUUAUGAAAUCGCCUCCUCAGGGUAUCUAGGUCUUCCCAAUUAGCAUCUUCCUCACUGGCCCCAGCCUGUUGUACCAAGACCAAACUCGGGCAACAUUUCCUUUUCUUUUCAACCUCCUUUGCAAGAUUCUCUCGGGGUCGGAUUCCGAGGAGCCUUCGGACGUGAUGAGUUGUAGGUGUGCACAAGCUUGUAUUCCUUCUCCUAGCUUUCUCUUAAGGCACGAAAUAUGAAACACGAGAUAGAUCUUAGCUUCAGGAGGUAGAUUGAGCUCAUAUGCAAGAUGACCCACCCUUCGGAUCACUCUAAAAGGCCCAAAAUAUCUCGGUGCGAUCUUCAAGUUCCUUCGCAUUGCCACUGUCAUUUGCCAAUACGACCGUAACCAAGUCUUCAAUUUCAAUUUCAAACCAAGUCUCCAAUUUCAAACUCUUGGUUCCUUUUUGUUUUAUCAGUGAAAUAUUUCAUCUUUGAUUAGGCUUCCUACAGGUUUUCCUUGAUGAGUUUAGCAAUAAACUCUCGAGUCUAAAGUUCUUCAUCAACAGCUUGCACUUUAGUAGAUCCUACCUCAUAUGGUAACAUUCGAGGUGGUGGCUGACCAUAAACAGCUUCAAAAGAUGUUACCUUCGUGAUGUAUGUACUGAGGUAUUAUAGGAAUACUCAGCUAAAGGUAACCAUUUUGCCCAAUCUUUCGGUCUGUCACUUGAAAAACAUCGGAGAUAGCACUCGAGCACUUUAUUUAUGCCUCUGUUUGGCCAUCCGUUUGGGGAUGAUAGGUCGUGCUAAGUAAUAAAUCUGUUCCACAUAACCUGAAUAGUUCAUUCCAGAAAUUGCUAGUAAACACGGGAUCUCGAUCACUAAUAAUUGUUUGUGAUAACCAGUGUAACCUGAAAACAUUAUCCAUAAAACCUCUAGCCACCGUUAGUGCUAUGUAUGGAUGAUUAAUAGGCAUAAAAUGAGAAUACAUAUUUAGCCUAUCCACCACCACAAGGAUCACUGUCUUUCCCCCUGAGGGGGCAAACCCUUAAUGAAAUUCAUGCUGAUAUGUUCCCAAUUUUUGCUAGGUAUAGUUAAAGGCUGUAGCAACCCCAUAGGAUGGAGGGCUUCAACUUUAUUCCUCUGGCAUACAUCACACUCCUUGAUAUAUGUUAUGACAUCAUUUCGUAGAGCAGGCCAGUAAAACUCCUUUUUUAUUCUUGUGUGGAUUUUUAAUACUCUUGUGUGGCCCCCUAAUGGACUGCUGUGGAACUGGUGCAUGAUUUAUUGCUGGAAGGGAACAAGUGACCCGAGAUGUAGUCUACCCUUGUAAAAGAGUAACUCAUUUCAGAGUUGGUAACGAGUUAGGUCUAAGUCUCCAUGAUGGUAGUGGCUUAGCAACUGCUGCAACAUGGGGUCCUGGAGGCAAGCCUUCUUCAACUCUUCUAUCCAUUGAGCUUGUAAAAUGUUGAUGGCUUGGUUUUGGAUAAUUCGAUUUUUUUGUGUGGUUUGGUUUUUGGUUUAGGAUAGUAUUUGGUCACUGUUUGGGUCUUGGGGUUCUAAAUAUUGUACCCAAGAUAAGGCAUCAGCUACUGCAUUACUCAACACUUCUAUAUUCCACUAUGAAGUCAUACCCAAGCAAUUCAGAGACCCAAUUUUGUUGUGAGGAGGUCCCUAUCCUUUGUUCCAAUAGGUAUUUGAGUGCCUGCUGGUCAGUACGUACCUUGAAGGACUGUCCCAACAGGUAGUGUCUCUAUUUCCUCACUGCCAUCACUAGUGCUAAUAAUUCCAUUUCAUAAGUGGAAAGGUUUAGAUUCCUCUCCUUUAAAGCCUGGCUAAAAUAUGCUAUUGGUUGCCCCUCUUGCAUUAAAACAACUCCCAAUGCUUCCCCUGAUGCAUCACAUUCUACCACAAAAGUUUUAGUGAAAUUAGGUAAGCUAAGCACUUGUGGCCUUACCGUCGCCUCCUUAAGUGUCUCAAAUGCUCCAUGUGCUUGAUCAUUCCAAGAAAAUGAGUUUUUCCUUAGAAGAGUUGUUAGUGGGCUGCUAUUGCUCCAUAUCUCUUAACAAAUUUCCUGUAAUAUCCUGUGAGUCCUAAAAAACCUCUUAGUGCCUUAAGGUUCUUAAGAGUUGGCCAUUCUUGCAUUGCAACCAGCUUUUGAGGAUCUGCUUUAACUCUUUCCUUUGAGAUAAUAUGUCCCAAGUACUCCACCUCUUUACUGCAAAAAACACACUUUGACAGCUUUGCAUAAAACUAGUUAGCUUGUGAUAACUCCAAGACUCUUGCGAGAUGUUUUACAUGCUCUUGCAUAGACUUGCUGUAGACUAAGAUAUCAUCAAAAAACACAAGCACAAACUUCCUCAAAUAGGGUCUAAAUACUUCAUUCAUCACCCCUUGAAAUGUAAAUGGUGCAUUAGUAAGCCCAAAGGGCAUUACUAAAAACUCAUAAUGCCCCUCAUGUGCUCGAAAGGCAGUUUAGGGAUGCCAUUAAGAUUCAUGCGUAUCUGAUCAUAUCCUGAUUUCAAAUCUAAUUUAGAAAACACCUCAGCUCCUCCUAGCUUAUCAAGCAACUCAUCAAUGUUUGGAAUAGGAUACUUAUCUUUUAUGGUCUCCUUGUUGAAUGCAUGAUAAUCCACACAUAUUCUUCAACUCCCACCAGCUUUUCUCACAAGUAGCACCGGAGAAUAAUAGGGACUUUGACUGCUUCUUAUGUUCCCAUUCUUUAGUAACUCAGCUACCAGCUUCUCUAUCUCUUCCUUUUGGUAAUAGGGGUACCUGUAGGGUAUACAAAUGAGUUUAGUACCUUCCAAUAAUUUAAUUUUGUGAUCAAAAUUCCUAGGAAGUGGCAGCUCAAUAGGCUUGGCAAAGACCUCUUUAAAACUGUCUAGAAUUUUUCGCACCUCUGCUGGUUAUGUUGUUCUGUCUUUACCAUUAUUACCAUCGAUGAUUUGCAACCAAAUUCCUCUCACCGACCCCUCCUUAGGUUCAAUAGUAGGAUCUUCCUCCCCAAUAUUGUUCACUGGUCUCUGAAUCCCCUGCAACUGGAGACCUCCAUACUGAAACUUCAUAGUUAAAUCAGAGAAAUUCCAUAAAAUAGAUCCUAACCCACUUAACCAAUCAACCCCUAUAAUGACAUCACAUCCUCCAAGAUUCAACAUAUAUAAUUAUCCAUAAACUUAUGAUCUUGUAACGGAAGAGAGACGACCUUACAUUGACCAAGGCAAGGAAGAGUGGUACCAUUAGCCGCUUGAACUGUUAAGUGGCUUUCUUCCCUUGACAGAUUAGCCUUCCUUGCUACAUAUGGAUCUAUAAAACUAUGAGUGCUUCCUGUAUCAAUCAAAACCAGAACUUUGUAAUGAUUAAUUUCAGCAAACAACCUCAUGGUUUUUAUGGUUAAUGAUCCAGCUAUAGUAUGUAGGGAUAUUCCUAACAACUCCCCAACCUCUCCUUUAGUAGUUCCAACCACAACCAAGGAUUUCUCCUCCCCUUCAGUACCCACGUUGUCCUCUUCUUCUCCUUCCAUCCCUUCCAAAAGGUAAAUUUUGGGUUUAUUACAUCUAUGUCCUGGGUGGUAUUUUUCAUCACAAAACCAGCAUAGUCCAUUUUCUUUCCUUUUUUGUAUUUGAGUGGGAUUGACUCUCUUUAUGGGGAUAUUGGUUCUUUUUGGAUUGUUGAAAGGUUGAUGUUUCUGGUUGGUUUUAUCUGGUAGGGCUAGCAUCAGGAGUCUAGAUGGGUAAUGUGAGUUAGUGGUUGGGUAGGUAGGGAAUUUAUUUAUGUUGCCUUUGACACACAUUAACACCUCCUCUUCUUGUAACCUUGCCAAGCCAAAAGCAGAUGAUAGAGUGGAAGGUUUAAACAUAGUCACAGUGAUUCUCAAGUCAUCUCUUAGCCCACUCAAAAAGGUAUUGAUUCUAAACUCUCCAGAUAAGCCACUUAUUUUGUUAGAUAGCAUUUCAGAUUGUGUUUGAUAUACUUCAACAGUACCAAUUUGUUUAAGUUUAGUGAAUUCCCCAACAGUAUCCUCAUAGGCUGAGGGUCCAAAUCUCACUACUAGGGUUGAAACAAAGUCAUCCCAGGAUUGGACUGGGCUUGAAUCCUUUAGCCAGCUACACCAUGAGAGUGUUUUACCUUCCAUAUGAAAGAAUGCUAUUUGUAAUCUUUGGUCAUCUGGGGUUAUAUAAUAUUCAAAAAACUGUUGUGCUUUUUGAGUCCAUUCCUCCGGAUUAGUACCAUCAAAUUUAGGGAAAUCCAGUCUUAAAGAUCAAGCUUGAAUGCCCCCAUUCCCUUUAAACAAAGGAUUGCUACUGACCUUAGAAUUAGAAGACCCUUCUCCUCAAUUUUGAUUUGCUGCCAAAUGUUCAUAGCUAGAAGCCAAAUUACUGAUUUGUUGAAGAACUGCAGCUAACAUGUCCUUUUGCCGUUCUUGCUCUUCAUGCAGGUUGUUGUUCUCUCCUUUGAGGGUUGCGAUAGCAUCAGCCAAUUGAGCAUGGCGAGUACCGUCAACCGUGGCGCUAGAAACGCAACUCUGAUACCACUAUUAUGCCCCAAAAUUAUACGUAAUAGUAAGUAAAUAAAUGGGUGAUAAUUUGAGGUUACCAGGCCUCCUGUAAGUCUGUAAAUUUGAUUAAACUGAUGAUGAUCUUUUCAUUGAACUGAAAUAGCAUAGGCCACGGACAAUGACCUGUUACACGACAUGGGGCAUAGCCCAUUACUUACGAAAAUAAACAACUGACCCAGUAAACAAUAACUAACCCAUAACAAAAUGAAAUAAGGGGUACUUACAAAAAUACCCUAUAUUUUUGGGUUGUUUUGAAAAAAAAUUAUAAACUUGGAUUAAAUGGUAAUUACUUAAAAUUGAAUGUAAAAUAUACGCUCAAAACCUAAACUCACGACAAUCCUCAUAAAUCAGCCUCCAAAAUGAAAAAAAUCAAAGAAAAAUUGAAAGGAAAAAGAGGAAAUCUUCCA